GGGGCCAGGUGGUUUUUGGAGGCCACCUGAGGAAGGAGAAGUUUCAAAGUGAAGCUGGGGCGAGGCCAAGGCCAGUCAGAGCCAUGGAUGGAGGGGAAGAAGCUUGCUGAGCUCUCUGUGCACCACCCUCCAGUAAGUGUCACGCACAGUGGGGUCUGGAUUCAGGCAGAAACAACAACCCAAAGGAUUACUGCUGCCCACACAGGAAGUUUUCCAGGCAGGGAGUGCAAUCAGCAGCACUCCAGCAAGUCAAAACCCAGGAAACUCAACAGUGGAGGAUGAGGAUAGACGGGCUGCCUGACACCUAAUUGCUGUGAGACAGGAAAAACAGCAGGAAUAGGACAGAAGAUGCAAGGUGAUGCUGAAGUCAUGUUCUGCUGCUGGCCAUAAAGGUGAUUCACUGAACAGCGUGUCCCCUGUCAGAGGGAGGGAACAAUACGCAGGAACAUUUGGCAUUCCAGUCCAUGAGAAGACCCAAGCCAACUGUCCUGCUCUGCUCAUCAGCUGCUGCAGGAACCAACUACAGACAGCUCUAGGAAGAAAGGAAAAGGAAUACAACUUGACUAAAAUGAACUUUUAUUUCCACUGCUGUGAAGAAGGGGAAAGGGGAUGCUGACUCUUGUCGUUUUGCCUGUAAUUGUUAUUGCAGACACGACUGUGUUACAGGUGCUUCAGUCUCCACAAUCAAAAAGAAGAAACUCACAGCUAUUUAUGAGAGGCUUGGUGGAAAUCUGAACUUUGCAGAAAUUCCACCAAAGAGAGAAGGUGUGAAUGGUAACUGUGAAGAGGCUGAGGUACCAAGAGCAGUUUACUUAUAGUACCUUAAAGCAACCUGUACCUUUCCAAGUGUUCAGAAAGUAAUAAUCCUUGGAGUUACUAAUGCUCUGAGCACUGCUGCUGACCAAUCACUUAACCCCUUGAAGUCCUAUAGCUGAGAAAAAAAUGACUCCUAAUUCUAUAUUCCUGUUUCAUGCAACACUGCAAGAAGUGAAGCGUGCAGCAUCAGCAGUUUGUAUGAUCAUAAACAAAAAUAAUUUUUUCAGCCCCUAAGCAAAGUACUUGUCUCUUGGGUCAACAGAUCUUAGAAUUUAGCAGACCAAAUGAACCAGCAAAUGCAUGUUUUAUCCCAUUUUAAUGCUAACAAGAUAAAUGAUGGAUGAACACAAGUUUUUAGAAGAUUAAUUUAAAUACAGAUGUAAUCACAGCAGGCAGCAGUUCAGAGCAGAAACUGUGCCAAGUCCAUGUGAGGUCCUGCCUCUCUUCUUUGACUACUGGGAGUCAUUUCCAAGGCAAGGUCCCUAAAAUAUGUGCCAAAUAGCAAAUAUUUUAAAUCCCUCCUUCCUUUUUCCUUUCCCCUGCAUUGUCUGUAGUCCUCUGUGGCUCAAAACCUCAACUCUCAAGUCCUGCACUUGGACAGUAUCAGGUGUUUGCCUGUGAGGGUGAAUAUGCUCAUGCAUGUAUGGGUAGGCAGAUUAAUGUGUGACUGACUUCUCAGAAAGGAAAGAAACAAGAUCAAUAAAGAGCAACAGGGUCUACCCUGAGCUAAGUUUUUCCCAAGUCAGACUUGGAAGUUUAGCCCAUAUUUUACAGCAAAGUUCAGGUCAGUAAUUUUUAUCAACUAUGCAACUGAUGCUCUCAUUUUCUCUUGUUUGAUGAGAGUAAGACACUCUUUUCUCCAUGUAUACAUUGAUAUUUUUUUUAAACUAACCUCUCAAUUUUAAUUUUCCUCAGUUAAUAUCUGCUGGAUUAAUAGUCCAAAAAGAAGAACAGUUUAUAGUAGCAAGCAUAAGCAUCUAUGGAAUUAUAAUACUAACAAAGACAUUUCAUUUCCUAAAGUUGGUUUUCAUAAUGUGCAGAAAGCCUGGGGUUGCCCAGUCUCAUAAAGCAUCCAACCAACACAGGGACUGUAUAAAAUGAAUAUCCUCUCAAAAAAAAGCCCUCUGGAUUAUGAAGCUGUACAAAUUGUGUGACCUGUACAAAUGAGAGCAUGCUUCUAUCUCUGAAAAGGCAACCAAAUAAUUAAAGGGCUAAGAAACACUACUUGGUUCAGAUGAUCUCUUGGCAGAAUCCACAAGUUGAAACAGGAUGAAAACAGAAGACAGUUCACUUGUUAACAUCAUAAACUAAAGACAUUCAAAGCCUAGUCGGAAUCUCAGCCGUGAAUGCCAGCAUAUAAAACCUGUCAGCCUACAGGACUUCAUGUGUGUAGCAUACACACAUCUUUGCUGUGGCAAAAAUUAAAGGAAAAGCAAACUCAAGAGGAUGCUGCCGCAGGAAAUCUCAUCUAUGUUCAGGUUGGUAAAGCAAGUAAACAUACUCACAAGGCUAGUAUGAGCUAGGAACGUUUUCCUUCUUCAGUCCAACUUUAGGAAAAAGCACAACAGUCCUCCUCUGUUCUGAACCCCAAUAUUUCAAGUUCUCCGGCAGUACAAGAUCAGAUAAUUAACAAAAACCAAAGGAUGACGAAAUGAAGCCAGAUAAAUAACAAAUAUCUACAUACAUAAGCACACAGCAAGCAAGAUAAUGAAAAGUUAGCUAGAUUUACCGUUU